UUAAUUUAAAAUUCUGAUACAGUUGGGGUGAUUCUGUGUUCAAUUGGAAAUUUUCACACAAAACCUAAAGAACAAUCUGACACUACCCCCUCUAGUUCCUUCACUUAAAAUUUGCUGGUAUUGAUUUGUCAGUACUUGAGAAGUAGAGUAAUCUAUAUAUGUUUGUUUUUGUUGGUCUGCUAUAUAUCUGGAUAUAACUUUUUAAGAUACAUGAGCUGCAUAUAUCCUCUACUCACACUGUCAUCUUGCAACAAAUCAGGAAGGUGGAUGCUUACAAGAUCUUAAGGAACGUGAUAAGUUACUUGGAAAGGCUUCACUUAUGUCAGUGAGGAAAUGAAGGGAUGUCCUACCUUUUGUGAUAUGUGAUGGCAUGGUGGGCCUACUGUGAUUGACCCUGUAGCAGAGGUACAUAAAUUUUAUUAUUGAAGGUCUCCCAUGCAUGUUAUAUUGAAUAUGUUAGGUACAGAUUUACAUUGACAUGCAAUACCCAGCCCUGCUAAUAUAUGUCUUAUGUAAACUCAAGUCAGCCUUCUACUUUAUCAUUUUGUUAAGUGAUUAUAAUUUAAUCACAUAAUUAAAAUAAUAAGCUACUACUUAGUGCUAAUUUUGGGCUUUGAGCUUUAUAGGGUACUCUGCAAGAGAUGAUUUAUUCUCAAACAGUAGUUUUGAGUUUUUGACUAACCACUAUAAACCAUUAAACCGGUGGUUCGGUUUGGCAGUCAACAUGUACACACUAGACCAAUUCUCUGGACCUUUUUCCUUAAAAU
rnacentral:lncRNA from 1 species